rnacentral:ncRNA from 2 species
AACAGUUCUCGGGGCGGGGUGAAAUUCCCCACCGGCGGUAUCAGGGAGACCUGGAGCCCGCGAGCGCCAUGUAACCGAAACCGGUUUCAUGGGUCAGCAGAUCCGGUGAGAUGCCGGAGCCGACGGUUGAGGUGCGAUCUUCGUUGGCAGGAUCACACCUGAAAGUCCGGAUGAGAGAGAACUUGG